CUCAGAACGAACGCUGGCGGCGUGGAUAAGACAUGCAAGUCGAACGAGACCUUCCCAGUAGCAAUACCAGGUCGGUCUAGUGGCGCACGGGUGAGUAACACGUGAGCAACCUGCCCUGAAGUGGGGGAUAGCUCGCCGAAAGGCGAAUUAAUACCGCAUGUGGUGGCAACACCAAAGCAGCAAUGCGCUUCAGGAUGGGCUCGCGGCCUAUCAGCUUGUUGGUGAGGUAACGGCUCACCAAGGCAGUGACGGGUAACUGGUUUGAGAGGAUGAUCAGUCACACUGGAACUGAGACACGGUCCAGACACCUACGGGUGGCAGCAGUCGAGAAUCAUUCGCAAUGGGGGAAACCCUGACGAUGCGACGCCGCGUGGAGGAUGACGGCCCUCGGGUUGUAAACUCCUGUCAUGAGGGAGCAAAUCCCGCUUUCGCGGGACUGAUAGUACCUCAAGAGGAAGGAACGGCAGACUCUGUGCCAGCAGCCGCGGUAAUACAGAGGUUCCAAGCGUUGUUCGGAUUCAUUGGGCGUAAAGGGUGCGUAGGCGGCUUGGUAAGUCAAAUGUGAAAUUGCGGGGCUCAACCCCGUACGGCAUUCGAUACUGCCAUGCUAGAGGACUGGAGAGGAGACUGGAAUUCACGGUGUAGCAGUGAAAUGCGUAGAGAUCGUGAGGAAAACCAGUGGCGAAGGCGAGUCUCUGGACAGCUCCUGACGCUGAGGCACGAAGGCCAGGGUAGUGAACGGGAUUAGAUACCCCGGUAGUCCUGGCAGUAAACGGUGCACGUUUGGUGUGGGAGGAUUCGACCCCUUCCGUGCCGGAGUUAACGCGUUAAACGUGCCGCCUGGGGAGUACGGUCGCAAGAUUAAAACUCAAAGAAAUUGACGGGGGCCCGCACAAGCGGUGGAGUAUGUGGCUUAAUUCGAUGCAACGCGAAGAACCUUACCCAGCCUUGACAUGCAUCUCUAAGUCGGUGAAAGCCGGCGAGUCUUCGGACAAUUUGCACAGGUGCUGCGUGGCUGUCGUCAGCUCGUGUCGUGAGAUGUUGGGUUAAGUCCCGCAACGAGCGCAACCCCUGUGAACUGUUGCUAGCCCUCGGGCGCACUCUGUUCAGACUGCCCUGUCAAACGGGGAGGAAGGUGGGGACGACGUCAAGUCAGUAUGGCCCUUAUGGCUGGGGCUGCACACGUACUACAAUGCCCAGCACAGUGUGAACCGAAACCGCGAGGUGGAGGAAAUCCUCAAAACUGGGCUCAGUUCGGAUUGGAGGCUGCAACUCGCCUCCAUGAAGCCGGAAUCGCUAGUAAUGGCGCAUCAGCUACGGCGCCGUGAAUACGUUCCCGGGCCUUGUACACACCGCCCGUCACAUCAUGGAAGUCGCUUGUACCCGAAGCGUUCGCGCCAACCCCGAUUCGUCGGGGAGGCAGGGCUCGAAGGUAUGGGCGGUAACUGGGAUGAAGUCG
rnacentral:rRNA from 1 species